AUAUUGUUUCUCUUUUGGACAAAUGUCGUCUCCCUCUCCAACUUCGCCGCCCGCCACUAACACUACCUCACCCCCAACUCCCACCACCAGCGCACCACCUCCGGCAACCCCAUCUCUCUCACCGCCUCCUCCCGACUCUGCCUCUCAGCCUCCUCCUGCUUCUUCAUCCCCGCCACCUUCCACUACAACUUCCCCGCCACCUCCGGAUAGUUCCACUCCAUCUCCGCCUACUUCUUCUCCUUCACCGCCAACCCCACCUUCCACCUCUUCGCCUCCGCCUCCCUCUACAAACUCGACUACUUCCCCACAGCUGCCUAGUCCGACGCCUCCUUCGGGUUCUGGUACACCUGCCAGUCCCGGAGAUGAUCUUCCCGGAAGAGAUCUGCCUCCGCCGUCUUCCUCACC
rnacentral:lncRNA from 1 species